CUACAGAAAAGGCUUGCUGCUGGCUCUCCUCCAACAUCACAAGUAGUGAAGCCUAAUUUUAGUGAAGUUUUAAAAUGGCAAAUGCUCCAUUACUAAUUUUGUAGCAUGUUUAAAAAAAAAAAAAAAGUAAAAUAAGGAUCUGAAAUAUUCAUGUUUGAAUUUAUCCCUCAGCACUGCUGAAGAAGGAGUGGAACAGUGCGUUUGAGGGGUGCUCUUCUGGAAAAGUUUCUAGUUCUGUGGGCUCGGACUCCCUCUCCACCUCUGCACCUUCUCCUCAGUGAACCCACUUUGACUGCUAUUUCUAGUGCCACAGAUAGUGAGAGUCUGACUACCUGUUCCUGAUAAGAAAGCUAAUAAUAGAGACGGGUCUUUUAGGAGAGGAGGAAGUGGGCACCAACUGGCCAAAGUUGUCUACGUUAUCUAGGCCAGAGGAGUCUGUAGAGAAGUUUCAGCAGCUCUCUCUGGCCACCCAGUUCCCAUUGCCUUCACUGCCAAACCACAGGGACAUUCUGCAGGUCUCUCAAUGACCACUAAGGGGACGCACGAGUCUACAUUACCAACUGUACACAUGAAUCCCAGCCAAACACUAUUGUAUUAACAGCAACAAGUGAUGAAUAUUUGAACAAAAGAAUGAAUGUUUACUCCUACAAUAUAUAUGAUUUUAAAAAUAUUUUAAAGUCUUAUUUAUUGUUAGUUGCAAGGAGAAUAUUUGCUGCUUAAGAAUGCUAAAUUGAUAAGAUUGUUACUGACAGUUUAUAAACCUUUAAAUCACAUUUUGUGGGGACAUUUUAGCAGGGCUUUGCCAGUGUUCACUUAUACUGCCUCACAGUAGAACGGGAUAAAGAGCGUUCACUGUGCUAUUUAUUUGUUUUAAGUGUGUGUAAAUGUUUUUCUGUUUGUUUGUUGGUGAGUAUGUCU
rnacentral:lncRNA from 12 species